GACGAACGCUGGCGGCGCGCCUAACACAUGCAAGUCGAACGAGCGAGAGAGAGCUUGCUUUCUCGAGCGAGUGGCGAACGGGUGAGUAACGCGUGAGGAACCUGCCUCAAAGAGGGGGACAACAGUUGGAAACGACUGCUAAUACCGCAUAAGCCCACGGCUCGGCAUCGAGCAGGGGGAAAAGGAGCAAUCCGCUUUGAGAUGGCCUCGCGUCCGAUUAGCUAGUUGGUGAGGUAACGGCCCACCAAGGCGACGAUCGGUAGCCGGACUGAGAGGUUGAACGGCCACAUUGGGACUGAGACACGGCCCAGACUCCUACGGGAGGCAGCAGUGGGGAAUAUUGCACAAUGGGGGAAACCCUGAUGCAGCGACGUCGCGUGGAGGAAGAAGGUCUUCGGAUUGUAAACUCCUGUUGUUGGGGAAGAUAAUGACGGUACCCAACAAGGAAGUGACGGCUAACUACGUG
rnacentral:rRNA from 1 species